rnacentral:rRNA from 1 species
UUCCAGACUCCUACGGGAGGCAGCAGUGGGGAAUAUUGCACAAUGGGGGAAACCCUGAUGCAGCGACGCCGCGUGAGUGAAGAAGUAUUUCGGUAUGUAAAGCUCUAUCAGCAGGGAAGAAAAUGACGGUACCUGACUAAGAAGCCCCGGCUAACUACGUGCCAGCAGCCGCGGUAAUACGUAGGGGGCAAGCGUUAUCCGGAUUUACUGGGUGUAAAGGGAGCGUAGACGGCAUGGCAAGUCAGAUGUGAAAGCCCGGGGCUCAACCCCGGGACUGCAUUUGAAACUGUCAGGCUGGAGUGCAGGAGAGGUAAGUGGAAUUCCUAGUGUAGCGGCGAAAUGCGUAGAUAUUAGGAGGAACACCAGUGGCGAAGGCGGCUUACUGGACUGUAACUGACGUUGAGGCUCGAAAGCGUGGGGAGCAAACAGGAUUAGAUACCCCAGUACU